UACGAAGGGGGCUAGCGUUGCUCGGAAUCACUGGGCGUAAAGCGCACGUAGGCGGAUCUUUAAGUCAGAGGUGAAAUCCCAAGGCUCAACCUUGGAACUGCCUUUGAUACUGGGGAUCUCGAGUCCGGAAGAGGUGAGUGGAACUGCGAGUGUAGAGGUGAAAUGCGCAGAUAUCAGGAAGAACACCUAUGGCGAAGGCAGCUCUCUGGGACGGUACUGACGCUGAGACGCGAAAGCGUGGGGAGCGAACAGG
rnacentral:rRNA from 1 species